GCCGGCGAGUGCAGCUCCCGCCGGCGCCACCUCUGCGGUCUGGAGCGGCGAGGACGAUCCCAGAGAGGCGCCCCCACUGCCUCGGUCGUCGGGUUCUUAAGUUUUUCUCUCCAAAAAUUUAAUGGAUAGUUUUCUUUUGCUUCUGUUUCUGACUUGAUUAAAGAGGCGGAAAAAAAGGAGUUUGACUCCAAGAAGAAUGAUAGUAGCAGAAGGCGCAUCUGGCUUUACUUUCCAAAUUCCAUCAAAGUUUGUGUUUUGUUUCAUUUGACAGCGAUCCCGUGAACGUCUCCUCUGGGGAAAUGGCGCGACCAAAGCCCGCCAAGCCCAGCCUGCGAACUGGAGGAUUUAUUAAUGUAAUAUGUUAA
rnacentral:lncRNA from 1 species